rnacentral:tRNA from 1 species
GACAUCAGAGGAAGACCGUCAUUUCUAUCCGAUGGAGGCGGAUCGGUUGGAACGCGGGCUAGCCGGCCGGGAGGUUCGAUUCCUCCCCGAUUCCU